GUGUUGUAUAGAAGGAGAGAAGGUUAGCACUCUUCUUGACAAGGAUGAAAGAGGCUUUGGUCUGCAACACACAUAUGGUUAAGGUACUGCCACCUACUUUGAGGCAUCUAAUCAAUGCUUGUG